GACCAAUCGAGCAGGAGCUCUCGGCAGGGGCGUUCGGUGCGACUGGUGCGCGGCCACCGCACGUGUAUCACUUUAGAGUGUUAAUCAUUUGUGUCAAAUACGUUUUAUUUAUUAUGUACAUCUAUUAGUGUAAUGAAUAAAUGCAAAAGUGUAUACGUUUAUACAUUAUUUAUUUAUUAUGUACAUCUAUUAGUGUAAUGAAUAAAUGCAAAAGUGUAAGACAUAACACACAGUAAACGGUUUAAUAAUAGAGCGCACUAAUGCUAUGAGGGAUCUCGGUGUCAUACUUGACUGAAAGCUAUCCUUUGAUCAGCAAACGGAGGAUUUGAUUACUCGAGGUAAUCAGAUGCUUGGCAUGAUGUUCCGAGUAACACAAGAUUUAAAAGAUCCAAUCUACAUCAAAACAUUGUACAGCAGUGUUAUCCCCGCCCGGUACUCGAAUACGCCGAACGUAUUAUAAUACACACUAUCAGCUAUAGACACAUUGUAACACACUUCGGAAAGCCAAAUCACACCACUUUAACACAUUCAUAUAACACACUUAGCAAAUCAAAUCAUACUAUAACAAAGCAACCGGAAGAAUUCAGGCCCCACCGUUCAUAUAAAAACAAGCCAAAGAGCGACUUCAGUGUGAUCUGAACCGUGGACGUGAGAGUGUGUGUUUGUGUGCUGCGUGAAUUAUUUUUCCUGCGUGAAACACUUUCCAUACUGCGCCAUCCGCGGUGUUCUUUCUGCUUUAUCGGAGGACAAAUUGUUAUCAUCUAAUUGUUUCGAUGUGUGCUGCUACCGCUAGCUGUUCUCCAAACCUCUUCUAAUUGCGACACUGUGUGCACAGGCGUUCAAGGUUCAAUUGAUCCUCGAGCACAAAGCCUUCACACAACACCGCGGUUGAGGCGCGUAAAAUCUGAUGACAUCUUUCCUGAACCAAGCAGGCUGAACACGCGCACCACCACGGGCUCCAGCGCGGUGUGAAGAGGAAAAAGAAAAGAAUUGGAAACAGCCGCGCCAGGCUUCCAACCACCGUGUGUGUGUUUGAAAGUAUGUGAGAACACAUGUGUGAAUCCCCUUGUGGGAACUGCAAAAAGAAGAGA